rnacentral:lncRNA from 1 species
CUAAUAAGUAAUUCAAAUUUAUAGAUUUUCCAUAAACUUCAAAAGAUAUAUAGUAUGUCUUGUGUACAUACACAUACAUAUAAAGCAAUAUUCUAAAUAUGUGUAUACAAUAGUUCAAAAAGUACUUUUACAAAAGUUCAAUAUAUUCUAGCGAUGAAUAUAUUUCACAAAAUCAAAUAUAAUGUAUUCAAACUUUUGCAAUAGUUCAAAACUCUUCAUCAUCCACUUCAAUGGGAUCAAAUUGACUUGCGGAGACCAUUCAAAUUUGAUCACCUCCAUUUCCCUACACAAAUCAGAUUGCAGCAGUUAUAGAAGAGGCAAGAAGUUCCAGAUUGCAGCAGUUAUAGAAGAACAAAUCAGAUUGCAGAUUGCAGCAGUCAUAGAGAACAACAAAUCUGCACAUUGCAAAUUCCAGAUUCCAGAUUCCAGAUUCCAGCAGUUCAUUGAAAGAUACUUCUAUGCAAGUUGAACAUUCAUUUACAUAUUAUAUAUAUGUAAAUUAUUGCAGUAAAGGUACUAAAACUUGAAAAAAAAGGGUGCUUCGAAAAGCUUUUUGGCUGAAUGUGAAGCCUUGAGGAACAUAAGGCAUCGGAACCUGGUGAAGAUCUCAACAGUUUGCUCAAGUGUUGAUUUUGAUGGCAAUGAUUUCAAAGCACUCAUUUAUCCAUUUAUGGAAAAUGGGAGCCUAGACGAGUGGUUACAGCCGAAGGAGGGACAGAUGUUGCAGAAGAGAUUGAGCAUCUUACACAGAUUAAACAUUACAAUAGAUGUGGCUUCAACAUUGCAUUAUCUUCACAGUCAAUGCCAUACAUCUAUAGUUUACUAUGAUCUUAAGCCAAACAAUGUUCUAUUGGACAAUGAUCUGACUGCUCUUGUUAGCGACUUUGGCAAAGUUCAUGUCUGACUCGGGUCAAAUUGCCGAUGUAAAUCAAUUCAGCACAAGUGGGAUCAUAGGCACAAUAGGUUAUGAUGCUCCAGGUAAAUAUUAUAGUGGGGAUCUUACUUUAAAUAUUGUCUGAACUCUGAAAUCCAUUUUUUUCUCCAUAAGACCAUAACAUAUUAACAAUUUAAGCAAUUACAUGCCAUUGAAUUAGCUCAGGCCAAUACUUUAACAAAGAUGUAUUUAGAAACAAACACAUAUCAUAACUGAGAUUCUAUUUACAUGAAGAAAACUGGACAUUUGCAGACAACCAGGCAAACAAAAUUGAUCAACAAUCAUUUGCGGCUCAUUAGAAUACCAACUAUCAUAACUAAGAUUCUCUUUAUCUAUUUAUAUGAUAAAGAAAUCACUGUUUAUAGCAAGAGCAAGCAGAUUUCAAUAUGAGAAUACCAAAUAAUCUCAUUAGAAUGACUCACAAAGAGCAACGUAAACCAGAAAUUUAACUUAAAACGGUAAAAUAAAUUCUAAAUGACUGUCACACAACUCAUUUUAUGCAUUAUAACAGGAAUUUAUCACUCAAAACAAUAGUCCCAUGGGCUUAAACAACCAAUUUAUUAAAACACUUCAAAUGGAAAACAAGUAAGGCUUAAAUACAAGAAUAAACUUUCUUCAUUUUAGGGAUACAUACACCAUUUGAAACAAAAUUUAAUACCAAAAAGAAGCAGACUUUCCUUCAACGAAUCAUGAAAAUUGGUUGUCAAAGUUCUUCAACGAAUCAUGAAAAUUGCACCUUUAGCCUAUCUGUAUCUUUUCAUAAAUUCUCUGACUUAAUAUUUUAGCAUUUUCCUGAUGAAAGUAACUAAAGGGCUCUAGGAAUGGAAGUAAACAAAUAAGUACAAAGUCUAAAGAGUCUGCAAAACCAACUCUCAUUAUUCACUUGCAAUCUGAAAACCUUAAAUCAACAUGGGAAAUUAACAUUCAGUUAUAUAAAACAAUAGCCUUGCUUCAUGCUCAAAUAAGCACUUUGCAAAUUGAUAUGUUGUUGUUCAUGUCUCUUUAGGUUUUCUCCAAUUUCCAACUACGUACGCACUUGAAACUUGAGAAUAGAACUCACAUACAUCAAGAGCAAGGGCAGACUUACGUGAGUGCUAUGGGGUUCACUGAGCCUUCUCUGGCAGAAAAUUACCAUAUAUAUAGGGUGGAUUUUCAAUAUUUCUAUAUAUAUACUUUUUUUUAAUAAAUAUUUCUAUAUAUAUACUAAUUUUGAAUCACUUAAAUCAAAGAGAAAAGAUAGUCAAGUGGUAAUGGACUGUGCAACUUUAGCCGUGAAUGUUAUUCCCAAUUUGUAGGUUCGACUAUUUAUGCACAAAAAUUGUAGUGACUUAAGCUCACGAGUGCACUGCCCAUAACCAAAUAUAUUUAAAAUUCUACAAACCCAAUACAAAGAGACAUGUCUACAUCUGUCUCACUACACUACUGAUAAUCCCCCCCCCCCAAGGUUAUGUGAUCUUUGCAAAUUAUUAGUCAUCAUUAUAAAGUUGAAAUAAGGCUUCCUUAUUCUCACUUUAGUAAUGAGGCUAAAAAUGAUAUUCCUAUUUACCUUGCGACUCCUAUUAUCACUACCAUGCAAGGAUUGCCGGCUGACACAAAUUAGCAACCAAAUCAGGAGAAGGCAAAUAAGAUAUUAUAUGAGCAGUUGCAGGUUCAAAAGAAGAAGACUUAUAGGCAGAACCACCACACUAUGGGAGGACCUGGUUCACCACAAGAGAAGACAGGGCAAGACUAACAAUAUCAGGCACAGUCAUGUAAGACACUUAACUCUACUAUUUCUACUCAUAAUAACUAUAAUAAUCUUAUUGUGCAGGAACAAACUAACAUACAAGAAGAACAAGAAAACCAUCUUCACAAUUUGAUACAUCAAUAAAGGAAAUACAUCAACAAACAAAUAUCCAACUCCAAGUCAACCUCAGGCCAAAGAACAGGGGCAACAAGAGAAAUAUCCAAAGAUAGUCUAAUGUAGACAUGUAAAUCAGGAUAGUAGUUGCACCAAACAAAGCAUGGAAAAAGAGGAAACUCAACUCCAACAACACCAAGACACUCUACUGUAAACAGGUAAGUCUCAUAACUAUACUUCUGGGCAGUGUGAGAAACUAAUCUUAAGUAUGUUUUUAAGAUACUUAAGAUUGAGUUGGAAGAGUUCUACCUGAGUGGAUAUACCAUAUUAAACUAUGUUGGCAUGUGUACUUGUCUGAUAUAUACAUUCUGAAGAAUCAGUUUGUAGGGAGUGCAAUGUUUUGAAGAGCUAAGCUUACAGGAUUAUUUGUCUAUACUUGUUAGUUCGUUAGGCAUACAUUUGCAAGAAUUAAGAUUUUAGAGACUGUAAUGUUUUAUGUAGCUGAGCUUACAGAGCUAUAGGAUUAUUUGGCUAUACUUGUAAGUAUGUUAGACUUUAAUACUACGAAGACAGAGUUAUAGGAUUAUAUAGGAUUUUAGAGACUGUAAUGUUUUGUGUAGCUGAGCUUACAGAGUUAUACUUGUGGCUUCUUCGCAUUACUAUAGUCUUGAACACUACGGAGCUGAAUAGUGUCAUUCAAAAUUUAUAAUAUUAAAGAAAACAAAGAUAGACACUACAUCACUAAAAUGGAUCCAUUAACAUUAAGCAGCCCAUUGUUUUACUAUAAUACAAAAUCGCAAGUCUGCUGAGAUGUUAUUAAAUUAGUACUAAUAGCUGAAUUAAGAAUUACUGCAAAUCAGAACAAUAGGUAAUAAUUGACAACUUCAUGUAGAAGGAUCUAAAGGCUAGAUACAGAAGUUUUACUUACAUGUGAUAACCGCAAUUGCUACCCUUAUUAAUACCGCUGACAACCUGUAAGCAUAAAUUGACAUGAGUACACAUAGUGUAAUGAGAUGAUACAUAUUAGGUUUUAGUACACAUGUAGCCUGUAGGAAAAGCUCCAAUGCAAACUACUUAGACAUCUAUAGCAUGGUUAAGCAUUAAGUAUCAGAAAUAGCUCUAAUAGAAAGCCCUAUCGGCAAAUUAAUUGCUAUCUAGUUAUCACAAGUAUCAUAAACGGGUCUACAUAGCUAAAGAUGACCAAAUGAUAUACAAAAAUUCUGAUCUCCCAUUGUUUCUUUGACUGGACCUUUGCUCCUGAUUUAUUGAAGGAGUAUCAUCCCAGUAGGGAGGAGCUAGUUCACACAUAUUAGAUACAUCACGGUAUGUUCAGAAGUUCUCUUCAAUCUUCUCAAGGUUUACCCCUGUUUACAAUAGUAUUUUUGCAUUCAUUUACAUAUAUCUCUAAAUAAAAUAUCUCGUCUGCUUAAUAUGGCUAGGGCUAACUUUGACGUUCAGAUUUUUGGCACUUUCUUCCCCUACUUUGGAAUUUCAGCUGUAAGAACCCCAAAGUAAUCAAUUCCUUCUAAACACAAAACAAAAAUUCAAUCAAUUGACUGUUUUUAGUACUAGAUGAUUAGUAGAGAAUAAAAAGGAAUCUCGGCUGUACGAAAUCGGUACUUACGCUCAAAAAAAUUGGAAUAGGAGAAUAAAAAGGAAUCUCAGUUCUUCAGCUUCCUCUCUUCAGUUCUUCAAUCUUCGGUUCUUCGAUCCCCAGUUUUUUAGCUUCAGCUCUUCAUCUCUUCGAGAAAAUCGGGUUCUGGAGAAGAGAAUCUUCAGCUCAGCUCUUCAGUUCUUCAGCUUCCUCUCUUCGAUCCUCAGUUCUGGAGAAAAGCUUGUUCUACAGACAAAGAGUAAAGCGUAUGUUCUAGGAAAGAAGAGAGUAAAGUAUAUGUUCAGAUAGGAAAGAAGAGAAAUAGAAAAGUUUUUAUUAAUGUUUUAUUAAUUAUUUUUUUUGGACAAUAAAAAUGGGAGGGAGAGUUGAAAAUGUUGGUGGGAAUAUAAUUUUUUAGUGAAAAAUUUUAGGCCACACUUUUAAUGUGUUGUUUUUACAAUUAUAAAAAUAGGACACUUUAAAAGUGUGGCCAUAUAUGUAAAUAGUUGUUGCCAUUUAUUUCAUACUAUGACAACGCU